rnacentral:rRNA from 1 species
GUCCUUUUGAUUUUUAUAUAAGGUCUGACCUGCCCUAUGAAUAUUUAAAUGGCCGCGGUAUACUAACCGUGCAAAGGUAGCAUAGUCAUUUGUCUCUUAAUUGGAGGCUUGAAUGAAGGGUUGGACGAGAUAUAAGCUUUCUUUGUUAUAUUUUAUUGAAUUUGACUUUUGAGUUAAAAGGCUUAAAUUUUUUUAUAGGACGAGAAGACCCUAUAGAAUUUUAUAUAUUUGUAUAAUUGAUUUAUUUAUUUAUUAUUUAAUUUCUUGUUUAAAUAUAUUUUGUUGGGGCGAUGGGAAGAUUUUAAUAACUCUUUUUUGUUUUGAUCAUUGAUUCAUGUUUUAUUCUGAUCCUUUUUUAGAGAUUAUAAGAUUAAAUUACCUUAGGGAUAACAGCGUAAUUCUUUUGGAGAGUUCUUAUCGAUAAAAGAGUUUGCGA